UGCGUAGGCGGCUUGGUAAGUCAGGGGUGAAAUCUGUCGGCUUAACCGGCAAGCCGCCCCUGAAACUGCCUGGCUUGAGUCCGGGAGAGGAAGGUGGAAUUCCUGGUGUAGCGGUGAAAUGCGUAAAUAUCAGGAGGAACACCGGUAGCGAAGGCGGCCUUCUGGCCCGGUACUGACGCUGAGGCACGAAAGCCAGGGGAGCGAACG
rnacentral:rRNA from 1 species